ACGGAGGGCGCAAGCGUUGUUCGGAAUCACUGGGCAUAAAGAGCAUGUAGGCGGUCUUUUAAGUCGGAUGUGAAAGCCCUCGGCCCAACCGGGGAACUGCAUUCGAUACUGAUGGACUUGAGGACAGGAGGGGUGAGUGGAACUUCAGGUGGAACGGUGAAAUGUGUAGAUAUCUGAAGGAACACCGGUGGCGAAAGCGGCUCACUGGCCUGUCUCUGACGCUGAGAUGCGAAAGCUAGGGUAGCGAACGGG
rnacentral:rRNA from 1 species